rnacentral:tRNA from 1 species
GCCUGGGUGGCUCAGUUGGUUAAGCUUCUGACUUCGGCCCAGAACAUGAUCUCGCGGUUUGUGAGUUCGAGCCCUGCCUCGGGCU